CCAGCAGCCGCGGUAAUACGUAGGUCCCGAGCGUUGUCCGGAUUUAUUGGGCGUAAAGGGAGCGCAGGCGGUCAGGAAAGUCUGGAGUAAAAGGCUAUGNCUCAACCAUAGUGUGCUCUGGAAACUGUCUGACUUGAGUGCAGAAGGGGAGAGUGGAAUUCCAUGUGUAGCGGUGAAAUGCGUAGAUAUAUGGAGGAACACCAGUGGCGAAAGCGGCUCUCUGGUCUGUCACUGACGCUGAGGCUCGAAAGCGUGGGUAGCGAACAGGAUUAGAUACCCUGGUAGUCCACGCCGUAAACGAUGAGUGCUAGGUGUUAGGCCCUUUCCGGGGCUUAGUGCCGGAGCUAACGCAAUAAGCACUCCGCCUGGGGAGUACGACCGCAAGGUUGAAACUCAAAGGAAUUGACGGGGGCCCGCACAAGCGGUGGAGCAUGUGGUUUAAUUCGAAGCAACGCGAAGAACCUUACCAGGUCUUGACAUCCCGAUGCUAUUCUUAGAGAUAGGAAGUUACUUCGGUACAUCGGAGACAGGUGGUGCAUGGUUGUCGUCAGCUCGUGUCGUGAGAUGUUGGGUUAAGUCCCGCAACGAGCGCAACCCUUAUUGUUAGUUGCCAUCAUUAAGUUGGGCACUCUAGCGAGACUGCCGGUAAUAAACCGGAGGAAGGUGGGGAUGACGUCAAAUCAUCAUGCCCCUUAUGACCUGGGCUACACACGUGCUACAAUGGUCGGUACAACGAGUUGCGAGCCGGUGACGGCAAGCUAAUCUCUGAAAGCCGAUCUCAGUUCGGAUUGGAGGCUGCAACUCGCCUCCAUGAAGUCGGAAUCGCUAGUAAUCGCGGAUCAGCACGCCGCGGUGAAUACGUUCCCGGGCCUUGUACACACCGCCCGUCACACCACGAGAGUUUGUAACACCCGAAGUCGGUGAGGUANCCUUUUAGGG
rnacentral:rRNA from 1 species